rnacentral:rRNA from 1 species
UGGGGAAUAUUGGACAAUGGGCGAAAGCCUGAUCCAGCCAUGCCGCGUGAGUGAUGAAGGCCUUAGGGUUGUAAAGCUCUUUCACCCACGACGAUGAUGACGGUAGUGGGAGAAGAAGCCCGGCUAACUUCGUGCC